GAUGAACGCUGGCGGCGUGCUUAACACAUGCCAGUCGAACGGAAAGGCUCCUGCUUGCAGGGGUACUCGAGUGGCGAACGGGUGAGUAACACGUGGGUGAUCUGCCCUGCACUUCGGGAUAGGCCUGGGAAACUGGGUCUAAUACCGGAUAGGACCACAUUUUGGAUGGUGUGGUGGAAAGUUUUUCGGUGUGGGAUGAGCUCGCGGCCUAUCAGCUUGUUGGUGGGGUAAUGGCCUACCAAGGCGUCGACGGGUAGCCGGCCUGAGAGGGUGUACGGCCACAUUGGGACUGAGAUACGGCCCAGACUCCUACGGGAGGCAGCAGUGGGGAAUAUUGCACAAUGGGCGCAAGCCUGAUGCAGCGACGCCGCGUGGGGGAUGACGGCCUUCGGGUUGUAAACUCCUUUCGCUAGGGACGAAGCGCAAGUGACGGUACCUGGAGAAGAAGCACCGGCUAACUACGUG
rnacentral:rRNA from 1 species